GCGCCCGUAGCGCAGCCUGGAAGCGCGAUAGCCUCCUAUUUGGUCUGACGCCCUAACACUUUUUGGGCGUCCCCAAAAAGUAAGCUAUAGGUCCGGGGUUCGAAUCCCCGCGGGCGCG
rnacentral:tRNA from 1 species